CCUACGGGGGGCUGCAGGCGAGAAAACUUUGCAAUGUGCGAAAGCACGACAAGGUUAAUCCGAGUGGUUUCUGCUAAAGAAACCUUUUGUUAGUCCUAGAAACACUGAUGAAUAAGGGGUGGGCAAGUUCUGGUGUCAGCCGCCGCGGUAAAACCAGCACCUCAAGUGGUCAGGAUGAUUAUUGGGCCUAAAGCAUCCGUAGCCGGCUAUGUAAGUUUUCGGUUAAAUCUGUGCGCUUAACGUACAGGCUGCCGGGAAUACUGCAUAGCUAGGAAGUGGGAGAGGUAGACGGUACUCGGUAGGAAGGGGUAAAAUCCUUUGAUCUAUUGAUGACCACCUGUGGCGAAGGCGGUCUACCAGAACACGUUCGACGGUGAGGGAUGAAAGCUGGGGGAGCAAACCGGAUUAGAUACCCCGGUAGUC
rnacentral:rRNA from 1 species